CCGCCCAGCGCCCGCUGUUCUCCACUUGCUUGGAGUUGGGUUUCGGGGCGCAACCUGUAUUCGCGCCGGCCGCCCUCGAGGAUAGGGAGGACGUCGGAGGAAGCCGGGUCGCCGCCGCCAGAGUUUCAGAGGAAUGGCCGAGCCUGGCGGAGGAAGGCAGGGACCCGUUUCCGCUGUGCUGGGAAUCCAGCUGCGGCGUCUCAGUCGAAACCACGGAGGCCAAGGUGGCGUCGGGACGGGAAGCCCAAUCCUUGAGGUCGGGUCAAAUGAGCGUUACCAUAGGCUUUACGCUGCACAUUCGUUCUCUUCAAGGACCUCCUCCCCACCUGCGAACUGUAAGUGCGUGCUCCGGUGCCCAGGCUCCGGCUCUCUCCCCAGGCCCUGCCCUACUCCUGCUCUGGCCGCCACACGAUCGGUCCUAGGAUUGUGAGUGUCUGGCCAGAGGGUGCACGCCUUUUAAUCUCAGUACACUGUACACAUAAUAAUAAAUAAAUAAAUCUUUUAAAAAGGAGAAGGAAAGAAAAUUCCCGGGCAUUGGCCAUAAUACGCAGUCAGCCCCCCACGUUGAAGAGGCUACAAACCAGCCUGGACACAAGACUCCCAGUCUACACUGUUGACGACUUUCCUGUGACUACAUUUCUUCGUAUGGGGAUUCACUUGUCUCACUUAUAUGUAGAACUGUGCUCCUGAUGUCUCUGGGACUGGAGCCUCAGGCGUAUACACCCAGUUAAAUGAUCUUAGGGAGAGCCCUCCCUGCCAUAUGCACCCUACAUGGAGAUCACCUUCCCAGGACUCUCAUGGGGUCUGGUGAAACCGAAGCUGCACUUUCCUCCUCACACCUGGAAAGCAAGUAGUCAUGUCGGAGCAUUGAGUCUGGGAUUUCCACUAGAUCCUUAGUGUGCCUCAGAAGUGAGAACACCAAAGCCCCUUGGAAGGCCAUGAGGCAUGUGUUUAUGUUGUAGCUUUGAGAUCUGCAGCUGGUCUGGCUGCAUCUGUGUAUAUUGAAUUGAACCCUGAAGGCCUCCUUAGUGGCCAGAGAUGGAGCAGCCAGAGAGCUAGUCAGGAGAGUGGCCAAGGGGGAACCCCAGAAAUCUGCAGUAGCCCUACUCAGCAGUCCUAAAAAGGGCAGGGACAGGAAACAGGUGGAAAAGCUUAGUGCACAUAGCCCUGGGUAGUGUUCAGAAAGGUCUAGCCUCUGAUAACUGCCCUAAACAAUGUCUAGGGCCGCUUAACAUCAUAAAAACAGGACCUGCAAGCAUCAAAGUAUUGCCAACUAACUCCACUGCAUCCCCCCAAAAAAUGGAACAUGAAGGCUGCAUGAAGUCCACAACAAAGGGAAAAUUCACGUUUUCUGGAAUCCACUCAAGGACUGCCAGAUUGAACAGCAAGGGAAUGUGGCCACUAACAAGAGAAAGAGCAGCCCAUGGAAACUGACCCAGAACUGACCUAGAUUUUAGAAUUAGCAGACAAGGUUGUGAUAGCAGUUUUCAUAGACUGUAUUCCAUCUGCUCAAAACCUUCGGGAGAAGAGAAUGUCAUGCAUGCCUGUAUUGGCACUUAGAAGGUGCCGGGUAAGAAUGUUAAGAGUUUGAUCUACUUUAUCUCAAAAAUCUAAAAUAAAAAUUAGUAGAAAACCUCAAACUUAUAGUAGGAAAGAAAAGAGUAAUUAAACUAAAAAAAGUAAUUUAAAAAAAAAUUAAGCUUCCUCAGCUAGUAUUAUGAUGCUUGGUCCUUCUGAGGAAGCUGAGGCCCAUAUUUGGGCCACAGCUCUCACUGUCCCUGGUACCUUGCCCAGCAGACAACAGCCCAGCAUCCACCGUUACUGGGCUACAUCUGUGGAUCUCAGCACUUAGCCACUGUGACAGUGAGUUGACUCAAGACCAGUGUUCUCAUUAAAGCAACCACUGUAAAUGUUGACCCAUUCUAGCCUGGCUAUUUUGUUCCUGGUUAUGUGACGUAAGGACUAGUAGACUUGCUCCAGCAGAGGUCCUGCCCCAGCCUGGCUGAGGAAAAAGUAAACAACAGCGUACUCUGAAGUGUCCAGUGAGGACAAGGGCUCUGAUCUUUUUGACUAAGACUUGGUCUUUUGUAAUAUGUCAAUGAAUGAUCUCCAAAACAAAACAAAAAUAGCAUCAGAGGGCAUGGUGGCACAGGCCUUUAAUCCCAGCACUUAGGAGGCAGAGGCAGGUGGAUCUCUGAGUUCAAGGCCAGCCUGCUCUACAGUGAGUUCCAGUAGGCCAGAGAGGCCUACAUAGUGAAACUCUAUCUGAGAUAGAUAGAUAGAUAGAUAGAUAGAUAGAUAGAUAGAUAGUGAAACUCUAUCUGAGAUAGAUAGAUAGAUGGAUGGAUGGAUGGAUAGACAGACAGACAGAUAGAUAGACAGAUAGAUGGAUAGAUAGAUGGAUGGAUGGAUAGAUAGAUGGAUGGAUGGAUGGAUGGAUGGAUGGAUGGAUGGAUGGAUAGACAGAUGGACAGACGGAUGGGCAGGGUGGGAGCAGUGCUGGGGAAAGAAGGCUCAGUCAGCAAAAUGCCUUCUGCACAAGCAUGAGCAUCUGGGUUCAGUACCUAGAGUCCAGGUGUAGCAACACAUACCUGUAAUCCAGGGCUAAGCUCCAUGUGUUGUUCCUUGGGUACUAUCCACCUUGUAUUUUGAGACAGAGUCUCUCAGUCUGGAUCUCAGCUGAUUCAGCCAGUGAGUCCCAGGGAUCCAUCCGUCUCCACCUCCCUAGCACCCCGCACUGGUAUUGUAAUCCCAUCUUCAGGGUCCAUGAGAUCUAGAUGACCCUUCUUUUUUUUUUUUUUUUUGGUUUUUCAAGACAGGGUUUCUCUGUGUAGCUUUGCGCCUUUCCUGGAACUCGCUUUGGAGACCAGGCUGGCCUCGAACUCACAGAGAUCCGCCUGGCUCUGCCUCCCGAGUGCUGGGAUUAAAGGCGUGCGCCACCACCGCCCGGCAGAUGACCCUUCUUAUAAGAAAAUUUGCAGCACAAAAUUCAAGACCCCUCAAAAUAAAGGGGUGAGAGCCUCCACUGAAGGAGCCACAGUGAGCUUCUCUGUCCUCAAGCCUCCAAGGAUCUGCAUAGAAGGCGUCAUCCUGAAAGGUCACCUCACAUCCCCCUCUACUGCCCCUAGCAGCCACUGGGGGGCAGCCAAGAGCCAUCCUGGAACAAGGGCAAGCCUACACAGCCAGCCAGGCCUCUUCACCGGUUCAUGCAGUCAUUUGUUGAUAGAAUCUCUUGUAAGAUCUCUAGUGUGGGAAAGGGUCAGAGGCCAAAUGAGAAGAGAGAGGAACAAGAGGACCCCAAACUCAAGAUACAGUGCCUCCCUGCAGAAUCUUAAGCCUCAGAGUUGAAGCUGCUUCUGCAAGGCAAUCUUGUCAGGGCCAGUGAAUGACCCUGGGUCUCUUCCCCAAGAACAGCUGCUCUGCCCCGCUAUACCCCGAGUUUCCUAUGAUCUUGACUGCUAAUACCAUGUAUGGAUUGUGGGCUGGCUUUGUAUUCGCUGUUACUUUUUAUUUUUUUGUAAGGAGAAUGCUAUUUUAUUCUUUUUGUUGUUUGUUUGUUUGUUUUUGGCUUUUGAAACAGGGUUUCUCUGUGUAGCCCAGGCUGUCCUGGAACUCGCUCUGCAGACCAGGCUGCCUCAAACUUACAGAGAUCCUCCUGCCUCUGCCUCCCAACUGCUGGGAUUAAAGGUGUGCACCACCACUACCCACCGCCAUUUUAUUCGUAUUUAUUGCAUUUUGUUUAUUUAUUUGUGGGCAUGUGUAUACAUGCGGUGCACAUGUGACUUGGUGUGCAUGUGAAGGUUCAAGGAUGAUUUGAGGAAGUCGAUUCUCUUCUUCUACCAUGUGGGACCAGAGAUCUAACUCAGGACAUCAGUCUUGGUAGCAGGUGCCAUCAUCCACUGAGCCAUCUCACUGGACUUCUUCUGACUCUUUAGAAGUAUCCUGGGGACUAAAGAGAUGGCUCAGCAGUUAAGAGCACUGGCUGCUCUUCCAGAGGGCCUGGGUUCAAUUCCCAGUUCUCACCAGCCAGCUCACAACUGUCUGUAACUACAGUUCCAGGAGAUCCAACACUCUCACACAGACAUACAUACAGGAAAAACACUGAUGCAUAUAAAAUUAAAAAUAAAUGUAUUGUGGGCCAGCUUUGUACUCCUGCUUUAUCUUCAUCCUUUUUUUUUUUCUUAAAGAACCAUUCACUUUCUUUUUAUGUGAAUGGGUGUUUUGCCUGUAUGUGUAUAUGUGCACCAUGUGCAUGUCUGGUGCCUGUAAGGGUCAGAAGAGGUCCAGUGCCAAAUCCCCUGGAACCGGAGCUACAGAUGGUGAGAACUGCCAUGUAGGUGCUAGGAAUCAAACCUGGGUCCUCUUCAGGAGCAGCCAGUGCAUUCACCUACCAAAUCAUCUCUCCAGACCCUUUGCUUCUGCUUCUUUAGCUGUGGGACCUAGGACAAAUCAUAUAGUUGUUUCUUCUAACUACACAAGAAGAGUGAUUGUAAUUAAGCCACCGUACGAGCCUGGAGUUAUCUGUAUUCACUUAGUAUUUGCACAGUUGCUCAGGUAAGGUGUGUACCCAGAAGGUGUACCCACAUUCACCACCAUCAUCCUUCCCACCAUCACCAUCAUUAUUGCCAAUAUCAUAACUGCUAUCAUCAUCACUAUCAAAACCAUCGCUAUCACCAACAUUUCAUCAACCAUUCAUCACAGCCAUCACCAUCGCUAUUAUCACCAUCUUCACCCCCAUUACAAUUUCAUUAUGAUCACCAUCAUCAAUAUUGUAAUUAAAAAUUUGAGUGGAGCCGGGCGGUGGUGGCGCACGCCUUUAAUCCCAGCACUUGGGAGGCAGAGCCAGGAGGAUCUCUGUGAGUUCGAGGCCAGCCUGGACUACCAAGUGAGUUCCGGGAAAGGCGCAAAGCUACACAGAGAAACCCUGUCUCGAAAAACCAAAAAAAAAAAAAAAAAAAAAAAAAAUUUGAGUGGCUAGAUUCCCAAUCCUGGGUUGGUUGCUCUGGAAGCCAUAUUGAACCUGCCUCAAUAUUACAGUCCUGAUCUGGGUUCUGGGGUUUUAUGUGCAGCAGACCCCACUGGAUUCCCUAUACCCAUCCUGAAGGCCCACCUUACAUAUAUGUAAACUGAGACUUUGUGGCGUAGUGAAGCGGCUGCAUGUGGGCCAAGGGAUUGAGCUAGGCCAGCAUCAAAUACAGUAUAUGAGAAAAGGAUCUAGUUCAGGACAAGGAAACCUUCCUAACAGGCCUGGACUUGGGUCAGGGUGAGUGGCAGCUCAGGGUAAAGGACAGGCCUUCUCCUUGGGCAGGUCUGACCAGGAGCUUCUGGGGCCACUGCUUCCCAGCCAUGGUAGAGACCAUUUUCUGGUCUCCAGCAGUCAUAUAACCCUCUCCUCUAGGCAUAGAGGCCUCAAGUGAGGCCUGCUAGGCAGAGCCAACGGAGGGUCAGCCCCACUAUUUGGGGUCUAGAGGACCGUCAGGGCAUUAGCCACAGGCCUGAGGUAAUCAAGAGUGGGAAUGCUGACCUGGGAUCCUUUCCAUUGCCUUCCAUUCAGUUCCACUUUGUUCUGUUAUUGUAUCUGUUAUGGUUAGUGUCGAUUUGACAUAAUCUAAAACUCAGUGGGAGAAGGACUUCUGAGCACGCCUGUGGGGGAUUAUCUUGACUCUGUUCACUGAGGUGGGAAGACCCGUCCGCUGUGAGUGGGUCCACUCCUUCGGCAGGAGAUCCUGGGCUGCGUAAAGUGGAGAAACUGAGCUGAGCACUUGCAUGCACCCUUUUCAUUUCUGCCUUCUGACGGUGGAGCCAAUGAGACCAACGGAUUCAAGCUCCAGGUGCCGGCACUUCCCCACAUGAUGAAUCCUACCUUGAACUAGCAGCAAAACCAACCCUCCCUCCCUUCAGCUGCUUCUGUCAGAAGCAUUUUAUCACAGCAACGGGAAAAGAAACAGUGUCUCACUGGGUUGUUACAUUUUAAUUCUUCUGUAGUUCCUUCAGUGAAACCCAGCUCAUCCCAACCAAGAACACAAGCCCCAGGUCUUUUACCCCAGGUCUGCGUCCUGGACACUUAGGAGGGCCUCCCUUCAUGCUUCCUGCUGACCAUUGCAGGUUAUUGGUCUGAGUCUGGGUGGGCCCCAUUCUACUCCCCAAAGGACCCCCUUCCAGGCUACAAGCGAAUAGAAUGAAGGAGCUGCACCCCACAAUGCAGUCUGGCCUAGGCUCUCUGGGCAGGUCUUACCACAAAUGUUACCUUCAGUGUGGUUGGUCUAAAAGGCAGACUGUGAAGACAGAAUCCCUUCUCCUCAAAUACCCCAUCUUGCCUCCACCCCUUCCGUGGGGCUGGGGACCCAGUUCUGGGUCCCAGGAAAAGAGCCUUUGUACCCUGGCAGUCCACUAGAGCUCCGACACUGGCCAACACCCCCUCUAACCAAGAUGCCCUGUCAGGUUCAAGGAGAAAAAGCAGUGAGGUCCUGAGGCUUGCCCAGCAACAAACUGACCUCUGACCCCAGUCAUGGACAGUGCCCAGACCCAGCUUCCAGGCUGACCUCUGACCCUAACACAGAUAGCCCUGACACUAGGUGUCUCCAUUCCCAGGUAGAGCAGCAUUGUAAUGAAUGUGGAGGCCUAGGGCUGGCUUGUCUCUGGACUAUUGCCACACCCCAGCUCUUCCCUUGGAGACAUGUGCAGCACGUAUGAGCCAGCAAGCAGAUCUAGGCACUGGGAAGAGCUGGGGCCUGCCCCACGUAGGGCUCCUCAAGAGCAUAUCCCCAGUGAUGUCAGUGAUUUAAUCUUUUCUAUGGAACAAGUUCAGUAGUUGUACGCCUGUUUCCUCUCAUGUCCUCCCCUUUGGCUCUUGUGUCAAGGACUGUGUGUGUUUGUUCACUCAGAUAUAAUCUACUUCUGGAAUGUCCAUAUGUCUGACACACUGAUUCAUUGACACAGUUUCUUGGAAUGGUUAACUUAAAACACACCCUUUCUCCUUCUUCCCUUGCUCUGUCCUUUAUUGCCAUUUUCAAAUUAGCCAAUGGGUGUAGAUUGUGAGGCUGAACUUCAGCCAGGGACAAAAGGCCAAAGCCCCCUUACGUUAGGGUGUUGGGUGGAAGCCAGUUUAGAAUAGGUGUGCUUGCUCUCCAGUUUCUGGUGGAUGCUUACUCUUUUGGGCAGAAGUGAAGUUUUCCUUGCUGUGACCCUUCAUUUGAGUGGUAAUGUCUUGAUUUGUGACCCCAUUCUUACCUGUAACAACAUGGGGGCUCAUCUAGGAUUCUAGCUCUCCUGAGGAGGUUCACAGCUCCCCUCCCAGGAAAUACACCCCAGGCCUGUUUGCAGUGCUCCCUGGGCUAAUGAAGAAACAAACCAGGACUGGAAUCUGGAAAGAUGGCCCAGAGUUUAAGAGCACUUGCUGCUCUUCUAGAGGACCCAGGUUUAGUUUCCAACACAUGCACAGUCCGGAACUCCAGGUGUAGGGAAUCCAACACCUCUGACCUCUACAGACAGCUACACACACAGGGGGGGAAAAAACAGAUACAUAAACUUGCUUUUUUCUUUCCUUUUCUAUUUUUUGAGACAGGGUCUCUCUACAUAGCCCUGAAACUUGCUAUGUAGACCAGGCUGGCCUAGAAUUUACAGAGAUCCACCUGCCUCUGCCUCCUGAGUGCUGGGAUCAAAGGUAUGAACCAUUAUGCCUAGCCAUAACUACUUCUUCUCCUCCUCCUCCUCCUCCUCCUCCUCCUCCUCCUCCUCCUCCUCCUCCUUCUUUUUUGAGGGGGUGGUGGUGGUUGAGACGGGUUUUCUCUGUUCCUAGCUGACUGCCCUGGAACUCAUUCUGUGGACCAGGCUGGCCUCGAACUCAUAGAGAUCUGCCUGUCUCUGACUCCUGAGUGCUGGGAUUAAAGGCAUGCACUACCACCUCCCAGCCAUAAACUUUUUUUUUAAAGCAGGGGGCAGUGGUGGUGCAGCCUUUAAUCCCAGCACCAAAAAAAAAAAAAAAAAAAAAAAAAAAGAAGGAAAACCAGGACUGAAAGGUUCUCAGCUUCGGUGACUCAGACUCUGUGCACAGAACAAAGUUUAGAAUCACUGUGGAGACAGCAAAGUGCCUUGGUGGCUGGGUCCUCUUGGAGGUUAAAUGAGAAUAAAGGGAAGAUGUUGCUGAGCGUGGAGUCCCAAUCUGAAGUUCCGUGGGUGUCCUGGUGACUCAGCCUUUGGCUGCCCUUCUAGACCUAGUCAGGGUUUGUACCAACAUGCUCAUUGCUAAGAAGCAUUAAAUACUGCCCCAUAGAGAAUCAGUUGGAAGUUGGGUGGUGAUGGCACAUGCCUUUAAUCCCAGGCAGAGGAAGGUGGAUCUCUGUGGGUUCAAGGCCAGCCUGGUCUACAAAACAAGUUCCUGGACAGCCAAGAACAGGUGAGGCUACACAGAGGAACCCUGUAUCAAAAAACAAACAAAGGUCCUAUUUCCCAAGAGGGAAUUAAGUAUGCUCACUGCUGGAGGGAAGGUUCCAUAACUCUACUCCCCUUAAAAACAGGACAAGCCACAAAGAUGAACAAGAGGAUACAUAAGACCCCUUGCUUGUUUUUCUUCCGCCCUCCAAUCCAGACCAGAUUCUUGACCCCUUAGAUCUACCUGCUGUACCUGAUGCAGCUGCUGUGGCUCCCUCUACCUUCUCUUCUUCAGUGGCCUGAAACCCUUCAACUCACACAGACCCUGUGUUAGACUCUGCAAACACUGGCCUCGGGUACCCACUCAGAAAAGCUCCCCCAGGAAGAGGAGGGACUGGGUUUGUGAAUGUUCUGCUCACUGGAUGAAGUCUGAGACAACUCAGAGCCAAACCAGAUCCCACGUCACGUCCCACGUCACAAAAACCUCUAAGUUAAUGGAGGACACUGAAGAAGGCCUGCUAAAGCCCGGCAUUGUGGCGCACACUUUAAAUCUCAGCACUCGGGAGGCAGAGGCAGGCGGAUCUCUGUGAGUUCGAGGCCAGCCUGGUCUACAGAGUGAGUUCCAGGACAGCCAGGGCUACACACAGAAACCCUGUCUCAAAAGAAAAGAAAAGAAAAAAAAAGAAAAAAAGGAGGAGAAGGAGAAUGCCUUUAUUAUUGCCUAUUACUGCCUUGUAAUGAGCCCUACUCAGAAAGGCCAUUUCAUUUAUUUGUCAGUGUUAAUAGAAGGACAGCACUUGGUGGCCCAACACAAGAACACAGAGGACACUGACAACCUGUGGCAUACUAUCCAAACACUCAAACCAUUACUCUGGUGCUGUGAGAACCAAAGUUACAUUUUAAGUCUUAAUAAUUCAUACUCAGCCUCUGAGUUGGUUAUUUGGGACCGGGUGGUUGGGACAUGGAAACGUCCAGUUACACUAAACAUUCAAAUAAAUGGGCCUAUGGGGGCCAUCCUUAUUCAAGCCACCACAAAGAGAAAGGAUGAAUCAAGUUCUAAAAAGACAUUUGGCCAAAUUAAUACUUGAAACAAAAUAACCCUGACAAUAUGUCUCCCCAUUGCCCUCCUAAAACUCAGGGCUGCCCCUUGAAGGGACACAGAACUACCACCAUAUGAGAUGCUCUACCAUUUACCCUACUGAAUCCUACUGGAGGUUCCCAUCCUGUAAAGCCAAGGACUGGUUCCUCAUGGACUAUGAACUUGGGUUGUUUUCUGCUCUGCCCUGUUGGGUAGCAGAGGCUAUUAGCCCAGGCACCACUGCUCAAGUUUACUGCCCAGAAACAUGAGCCAGACAACUAUGUCCUAAUCAAGUUCUGGAGAGAAGGAAAUCAAACCAUCUGGGAAGGACCCAACCAAGUCCCACUCUCUACUGAAAGGCCACUCGUACUAUGCAAGGGACUGGACACAUACAUUCAGAUGAAGAAGUCACUUGUAAUUAGGAGAUGUCCACUGAAUCUGACCAAACUCAUUUGAGCAUGCAGUCCUUAAAACCAAGCCUCAAGAAACAGACAACACCCCUCACCAAGCCACCCUACACUUUAGUCCCAGUGUUCUCCACCUGCUGCCAUGUACACGUAUGUGUCAUGUGUGCCAUUAUAAUGUAGGUUUUGUGUUCCUCGUCCUCUCUUGCUGCCUUAAUUCCCUGUGCUAUUUUAAACUCAGGAUACUCCAAAAGACAAAACUAUUAACUUGAUUGUCAUGGGCUCAC